rnacentral:tRNA from 1 species
AGGGAUAUAACUCAGUGGUAGAGUAUCACUUUGACACGGUGAGAGUCAUCAGUUCAAUUCUGAUUAUCCCUA